UACGUAGGGGGCAAGCGUUGUCCGGAAUCAUUGGGCGUAAAGAGCGUGUAGGCGGCCCGAUAAGUCCGCUGUGAAAGUCCAGGGCUCAACCCUGGAAUGCCGGUGGAUACUGUCGGGCUCGAAUCCGGAAGAGGUGAGUGGAAUUCCUGGUGUAGCGGUGAAAUGCGCAGAUAUCGGGAGGAACACCAAUGGCGAAGGCAGCUCGCUGGGACGGUACUGACGCUGAGACGCGAAAGCGUGGGGAGCAAACAGG
rnacentral:rRNA from 1 species